rnacentral:rRNA from 1 species
UACGUAGGUGGCAAGCGUUGUCCGGAAUUAUUGGGCGUAAAGCGCGCGCAGGCGGUCCUUUAAGUCUGAUGUGAAAGCCCACGGCUCAACCGUGGAGGGUCAUUGGAAACUGGGGGACUUGAGUGCAGAAGAGGAAAGCGGAAUUCCACGUGUAGCGGUGAAAUGCGUAGAGAUGUGGAGGAACACCAGUGGCGAAGGCGGCUUACUGGUCCGGUUCUGACGCUGAGGCGCGAAAGCGUGGGGAGCAAACAGG